AGCCUGAUGCAGCCAUGCCGCGUGUGUGAAGAAGGCCUUCGGGUUGUAAAGCACUUUCACUCAGGAGGAAAGGUUAGUAGUUAAUACCUGCUAGCUGUGACGUUACUGACAGAAGAAGCACCGGCUAACUCCGUGCCAGCAGCCGCGGUAAUACGGAGGGUGCGAGCGUUAAUCGGAAUUACUGGGCGUAAAGCGUACGCAGGCGGUUUGUUAAGCGAGAUGUGAAAGCCCCGGGCUCAACCUGGGAACUGCAUUUCGAACUGGCAAACUAGAGUGUGAUAGAGGGUGGUAGAAUUUCAGGUGUAGCGGUGAAAUGCGUAGAGAUCUGAAGGAAUACCGAUGGCGAAGGCAGCCACCUGGGUCAACACUGACGCUCAUGUACGAAAGCGUGGGGAGCAAACAGGAUUAGAUACCCUGGUAGUCCACGCCGUAAACGAUGUCUACUAGAAGCUCGGAGCCUCGGCUCUGUUUUUCAAAGCUAACGCAUUAAGUAGACCGCCUGGG
rnacentral:rRNA from 1 species